rnacentral:rRNA from 1 species
UACGGGGGGGGGCAAGCGUUGUUCGGAAUUACUGGGCGUAAAGGGCUCGUAGGUGGCCAACUAAGUCAGACGUGAAAUCCCUCGGCUUAACCGGGGAACUGCGUCUGAUACUGGGUGGCUAGAGUGCGGGAGAGGAGAGUGGAAUUCCUGGUGUAGCGGUGGAAUGCGCAGAUAUCAGGAAGAACACCCGUGGCGAAGGCGGCUCUCUGGAACGCAACUGACGCUGAGACGCGAAAGCGUGGGGGAGCAAACAGG